rnacentral:misc_RNA from 1 species
CAGAGAUGUACGUAUACCAAGUUCCGCGUUAUUAGAAUUUCACCCAGGAAGGGCUUACCACGACUCUUUAUAUUGAAUUAGUGGAUUAAAAGAGAUAAAUAGUCAUUGCUUCGAUUGGAUGGGAUAAGUCUUAACGUAGUGAGGGGGAAUCCAACCGAGUUAUUAGUGGUAGGAUUUUCAUUUACUGUUUCGCUGGUCUGAUUCUUAAUGCCGCUUUCCCAGCUGUUCUGGCUGCAAACUUGAAAUAGAUAAAAAGCGCUCACUUCACACACAUCACGGGAAGAAUUCACACCAAAGAGCGGAGUAAUAUCGGGCCACUUCUUAUAGGAUUCUUUAUUUCUAUCUAUAUGUAAUAAAAUGAUGAUGUGACCAUUAUGUUUACCGUCCUUGAUUAGAUCAACACUGCAUGAAAUGAUGUAAAUAAGGACAACGGAUUUGAACAUAUACCAACUGUACGGAAUGUAAACUGCGUUAAGACAUUCGCAUUAGACGUCCAGCAUCUCACUCAAUAAUGGAAAUACGAUUUCGGACACUGGUGUCUUGGAAAGGACAGUUGGUCCUAGGAAUUUUUCUACUUGCAAUAAAAGAGUCAGAACAGGGCCCACACGAAGAAAGACUCAUAGAUGAAAUAUUCCACAAAGAAAAGCGCAAUUACAAUAAUCUUGCGCGGCCUGUGGCCAACGAAAGUGAAUCACUAGAAGUAGAGUUUGGAAUAUCGUUGCAACAAAUUAUUGGAGUUGACGAAAAGAACGAGAUGUUACAUACUAACGUAUGGUUAAACUAUAUGCUUCAAGACUAACCACAAUAAACAGUUCAACAAUUUCGUCAAGUUGAACUUAUUUACUUCCCUUGUACAUAGGAAUGGGUUGAUUAUAAGCUGCAUUGGAAUCCUGCAGACUACGGUAAUAUCACGAGUAUUAGACUUCCUGCAAAAUACAUUUGGACGCCAGAUAUUCUUAUGUAUAAUAGUGCCGAUGAAGACAUCGAUUCAAAAUUUUCAACGAACAUAGUUGUGUACUCUACUGGGGUACUCAGUUGGGUGCCAAUUGGUCUCUACAUAUCAUCAUGUUCAAUAGACAUUAAAUGGUUUCCGUUUGAUGAACAAAAGUGUAUAAUGAAAUUUGGUUCAUGGACUUAUGAUGGAGCAAAUGUCAAUCUUACACUGAAGUGGCAAGAGGUAGACAUUUCAACCUACCAGGAAAGUGGAGAAUGGGCAUUAAUAGGUCGCCCAGCAGAAAGAAAUAUUUUCAAAUAUGAGUGCUGUAUAGAAGAAUACAUUGAUAUUACUUUCACUUUACACAUACGACGCAAGACACUUUAUUAUGGCUUCAAUUUGAUCAUCCCGUGUUUCAUGAUUUCAUCUCUUGCCAUCCUAGUCUUUGUGCUUCCUCCCGAUGCAGGAGAAAAAAUCGGAUUGGGUGUGACAAUUCUGCUAGCCUUAUCUGUGUUUAUGAUGAUUGUGGCUGAAAUGAUACCCGCCACCUCAGGAUCAGUCCCGAUAUUAGCUGUAUAUUUUGCCUGCAUCAUGGUAAUGUGUACCUUAUCAGUUUGCCUGACUGUGUUAGUUCUCAACUUCCACCACAGGAAUCCAGACAUGUACAUAAUGCCAAGCUGGGUGAAAACGUUGAUCUGCGAGUGGGGUGCAUGGGUCGUCCGCUUGCAUCGCCCAGGCAGAGACAUUUCAAGACGCAGUCUCAAGAGAAAAUCAGCUAUGAGAGACUUAGAAAAACAACUACAGCCCUCUAAAAGCCUGAUAAUGAACAUUAAAGAUGAUGAUGAUUACUAUCCGUACACACCAUCAAGUUUCGGGGAUAUGCCAUCCAUGCAACAGGACGAUAACUUUAUCACUAAAACAGAACUAAAAAUGAUCCUCAGGGAAUUAAGAUCCAUAACUAACAAAAUCAAAGAGGAUAAUGAAAGUGGUGAGGAAAUCAACGAUUGGAAAUUUGCAGCAAUGGUUAUUGACAGAAUGUGCCUAUGGGUGUUUCUUACGUUUACGUUGGCCUCAACACUUGCCGUAUUCUUCUCUAUUCCACAUAUAUUUAAUCCUAAUGAAAAGUGAGACUUUGAAUUAAGGAAUAAUUUUUAAGAGGCAAUAUCUGUCGAGACCCAGACUUCUUUAUCAGUUUAUUGCUAAUCAAGAUGCCUUUCCAAUGGAAUAUCAACAUAUGUUAUAGCUUCUUUGAAUGAACGGAUUGAAUAACGAGCGAGUUUAAAAGCAAGUCUAUUGGCCAACCAACUAUCCAGGCUCCGCUGACAUCACGAGCAAUGAGC